CCCAACUAUCCCUAUUAAUCAUUACGUCGAUCCUAGAAACCAACAAAAUAGAAUCAAACGUCCUAUUUCAUUAUUCCAUGCUAAUGUAUUCAAGCGUGAGCCUGCUUUAAACACUCUAAUUUUUUCAAAGUAACAGUCCUGAUUCCCCAAGACACCAAAUUAAUGACAUCAUAGUUCGUCAGAAGGAAGAAACCAAUAAAUUAGUACGUACCAAGGCACGACCAACAUAUUGAUCCCGAAAUUCAACUACGAGCUUUUUAACUGCAACAACUUUAAUAUACGCUAUUGGAGCUGGAAUUACCGCGGCUGCUGGCACCAGACUUGCCCUCCAA
rnacentral:misc_RNA from 2 species